rnacentral:rRNA from 1 species
CGCCAGAGAAUUACAAGUGAAAAUCUUAAAACUCAAAAGACUUGACGGUGACCCAAACCAACCUAGAGGAGCCUGUCAUUUAAUCGAUGAUCCACGAUACACCUCACCCCUCCAAAUAGCCUAUAUACCGCCGUCGCCAGCCUACCUAAUGAUAGAACAAAAGCAGGCACAACAGUGCCCCACUAACACGUCAGGUCAAGGUGUAGCUAAUGGAGAGGAAAGCGAUGGGCUACAUUUUCUAUACACAGACCACACCAUAAGCCUCAUGAAAUAUAAGCUGAAAGGCGGAUUUAGCAGUAAGUGUGGCAAGAAUGCCUAACUGAA